ensembl:snoRNA
CCUCGGUGGUGAAAACUUUGUCCAGUUCUGCUACUGACAUUAAGUGACAAUGAUGUAUGUCUAAGGAGA